rnacentral:ncRNA from 1 species
ACUAGGCAGUGGCUUGGUUAAGGGAACGGAACCCACCGGAGCCGUAGUGAAAGCGAGUCUUAAUAGGGCGAUUGUCAUUGCUUAUGGACCCGAACCUGGGUGAUCUAUCCAUGACCAGGAUGAAGCUUGGAUGAAACUAAGCAGAGGUCCGAGGCCGGUUCGUUCGUCCUAUUCUAAUAUUCAGGACCAAGAGGUACUGGAUUCUCUUUCGGAUAGGCUCUGAAAGGAGAAGAAAGGCUGAAAUGCCAACGG